UUCCCAGGAAUGUGCCUGUUCAC
rnacentral:miRNA from 1 species